rnacentral:rRNA from 1 species
GGGGCAGCGGGGUUGUAGCAAUACAACUGCCCGUCUACAGGCGCACGGGUGAGUAACACGUAUGUAACCUGCCCUCUGCAGGGGGAUAAGCGGAAGAAAUUCCGUCUUCUACCGCAUAAUACAAUUUGGAGACAUCUCCGGGUUGUCAAAGGAGUGAUCCGGCAGAGGAUGGACAUGCAGCGCAUUAGCUAGUCGGCGGGGUAACGGCCCACCGAGGCUACGAUGCGUAGGGGUUCUGAGAGGAAGGUCCCCCACACUGGUACUGAGACACGGACCAGACUCCUACGGGAGGCAGCAGUGAGGAAUAUUGGUCAAUGGGCGGAAGCCUGAACCAUUCUAGUCGCGUGAGGGAAGACGGUCCUAUGGAUUGUAAACCUCUUUUGCAGGGGAGCAAGGCGCGGUACGUGUACCGCGAAGGAGAGUACCCUGAGAAAAAGCAUCGGCUAACUCCGUGCCAGCAGCCGCGGUAAUACGGAGGAUGCGAGCGUUAUCCGGAUUUAUUGGGUUUAAAGGGUGCGCAGGCGGACUGUUAAGUCAGCGGUAAAAUGUCGGUGCUCAAACACCGGCCGGCCGUUGAAACUGGCAGCCUUGAGUGAGCGAGAAGUAUGCAGAAUGCGUGGUGUAGCGGUGAAAUGCAUAGAUAUCACGCAGAACUCCGAUUGCGAAGGCAGCAUACCGGCGCUCAACUGACGCUCAGGCACGAAAGCGUGGGUAUCGAACAGGCUUAGAUACCCUGGUAGUCCACGCAGUAAACGAUGAAUGCUCACUGUCCGGGCCGUUUAAGGCCUGGGUGGUCAAGCGAAAGCGUUAAGCAUUCCACCUGGGGAGUACGCCGGCAACGGUGAAACUCAAAGGAAUUGACGGGGGCCCGCACAAGCGGAGGAACAUGUGGUUUAAUUCGAUGAUACGCGAGGAACCUUACCCGGGCUCAAACGGAAGGGGACAGUAUGAGAAAUCAUACAUUCCUUCGGGACCGCUUCCGAGGUGCUGCAUGGUUGUCGUCAGCUCGUGCCGUGAGGUGUCGGCUUAAGUGCCAUAACGAGCGCAACCCCUAUCGACAGUUGCUAGCAGGUAAAGCUGAGGACUCUGUCGAGACUGCCGGCGCAAGCUGUGAGGAAGGCGGGGAUGACGUCAAAUCAGCACGGCCCUUACGUCCGGGGCGACACACGUGUUACAAUGGCAGGUACAGCGGGAAGCCACCCGGCGACGGGGCGCAGAACCCGAAAACCUGUCUCAGUUCGGAUUGGAGUCUGCAACCCGACUCCAUGAAGCUGGAUUCGCUAGUAAUCGCG